UACCUGGUUGAUCCUGCCAGUAGUCAUAUGCUUGUCUCAAAGAUUAAGCCAUGCAUGUGUAAGUAUGAACAAAUUCAGACUGUGAAACUGCGAAUGGCUCAUUAAAUCAGUUAUAGUUUGUUUGAUGGUAUCUACUACUCGGAUAACCGUAGUAAUUCUAGAGCUAAUGGAGCUCGCGUUCGAGUUCUAUCGGGUAAAGCCAAUGAUUAGAGGCCUCGGGGGCACAACGCCCUCGACCUAUUCUCAAACUUUAAAUAGGUAGGACGGUGUGGCUGCUUGGCUGAGCCGCACCACGGAAUCAAGAGCUCGAAGUGGGCCAUUUUUGGUAAGCAGAACUAGCGAUGCGGGAUGAAUCGAAAGCCGGGUUAUGGUGCCAAACUGCGCGCUAACCUAAAUCCCACAAAGGGUUUUGGUCGAUUAAGACAGCAGGACGGUGGUCAUGGAAGUCGAAAUCCGCUAAGGAGUGUGUAACAACUCACCUGCCGAAUCAACUAGCCCCGAAAAUGGAUGGCUCUUAAGCGCGGGACCUGCACCCGGCCGUCGGCGCAAGUGUCAGGCCCAGAUGAGUAGGAGGGCACGACGGUCACUGCAAAACCUUGAGCGCAAGCCCGGGCGGAGAGGCCGUCGGUGCAGAUCUUGGUGGUAGUAGC
rfam:Capsicum annuum cultivar Zunla-1 unplaced genomic scaffold scaffold84619, whole genome shotgun sequence